UAUUCAUUAACUCAGUGCCUUUAAACUAUAAAGCAGUGUGCUUUAGUUCAAUAUACAGUGACUACCUAAGAAGAUCAUCUUUAUUCAGUUCUGAUCGAGAUCGUUCGGAAGUGACACCGCACAUAAUGAAGUCAAUCGUUUUGCUUGUUUUAUGUUUUGCCUGUCUCGCACUGAUAAAAACUGAAGCAAAAGCAAUAAGUUCAUCUUUGAUUGCGAAUUCUGAUGGAUUUUGGAAUGAUAUGGAGGACAAAAAUAGAGAUAAAAGAAGUCCUGCUGCAAGCCAGGCGAAAACAAAUCUUGAUGCAAUAGGUGAUGGUACUGCAAUUUUUGCAGCGACACAAGGACUGAUAACUGUAGCUGUUCCGAACCCAAUCACUGCUGCAGCUGCCGGCGGUGCUGGUCUAAUUUCUAUAAUUACCAAAACUAUUGCGGCUAGAAUUGAUUAAACAAAAGCUAUAAUGAGACAUGUUCUUUCAGCUUCAGUCGUCUUAAGUACAUAAAUAUUGCUCGAAUUCACAGUAACUAUAUUUUUAGAUAUUUGAAUAAAGUUAAUACUUC